UGCACCUUUCCAUGUACUGUACUGUACUCUACUCCUGCUAAUGCGUGUGUAUUUUUUUUCUUUUUUUUUUUUUUUUGAAAAAAAAAAAUACCAUACAACCUGAUGCAGGGUGAUAGCCACGAACUACCAGCCAUGAACUCCGUCCCCGACACGGCCAAUGCGCCCACGGCAUCCAACACCUUCAAAGCUACGCCGGCUCGGAGAAUGCCCAAUUUCCAGCUGGACCGGUCUCGAAUCCAGUCCAGCCAGCAUGGCUCGAGACAGUAGAAAAUGAUAAGGCGUCAUCCCGCGCACUUUUUACCCUCCUGUUGUCCCGGGAGAUAAACCGAUUUGGCUGGCUGGCUGAUUUAUUUAUGGAACUACCGGCUGCAUCAUUGCGGUGGAGAGUGAGUGAGUGAGUGAGUGGACAUUGUGUGUUUCUCUGUCCAGGCUAAGAUCGAUCAAGCUUUUUCAAGCUGCAGAUCUCAUUUGUGGAGGUUUUUGCCAUCCACUAUUUUUCUUUUUCUUUUUCUUUUUCUUUUUUUCCGAUUUCGAUGCAGGCUCAGCAGGAGGAGAGGAACGAUGUGCUGUGGGCCCCGAUUGAUUCACAGAAGACUUAGUAUAAAUCACUUCCCUGAUGCCAGGUCUCGCAGCAACAGUUUAACUCCUUCCAGCUCAAAUAGAGAUCCUCUCUCUGCACACGACAUGUAACUAACUGACUUACACACUACACCGUUCAUGGACGGAGACGAGCAGGAACCAUUCAUCUCCCAAAGAUGAAGACUGCCAGCCACCCACUCCUCGAAAAGAAACCCCCCUCCUGACGCAGCCCAGAUUUCAAUAUAAUGGCGGAUAUUGUUUCACUCGACGUAACUACAGUACAGUAUUGCGUGAUGCCCGUAUCCGUAUCCGUAUCCGUUGAAUUGGGGCUUGUGCGCCCCCAACAACCGCAAAUCGCUGUUUUAUCAUCAAUCGUUGAACUAAGAAAAAAACAAAUAGUUAACAUGGAAGUACAUCCUCAACAGAGCACUUCGCUUCUUAACACUCUCUGUGUAUGUUUGGGUGAUUCUCGAUUCUGGGAAUCGAGAUUCUCCUUUGGGUUGGAUGGCUGUUUUCGCGCCCAGUUUGAAUAGUUAGACAGUUAUCUUCGGAUGUAUAUAUAUUUUCAUUUCACAGGUGCGGCUCUGUAUUCUAUGUAGUUACCUGCGAAAAGUUACCAAGCUCACAUCGCCCCUCUCGUGCUCCAAACCCUUGAAGAUAAAUAAGUUAAAUGAAUUAAAUAAAUUCCUACAGCGGUUCUGUAGCUGACGCAUGUUACCUCCGCUGUAGGGAAAUCUUAACUAACCAAAAAACUAACACCCCCCCUUCCCUCCACUUUCGACAUAAAAGUGCCGCAAACCCAACGACCGUCAUCCUACUUCAGACAAAAAAAGAGAAAACCAAAGCCUACGCCCCAGUUCCACUUCCAGUUCCACUUUCAUCCGAGUGCCUUCCGCAGCGUCGCAAUCUGCUCCAGAACAGCGGACCUGCUCGUGCCCCCAAUUGCCGCCUUCAUCUCCACAGACCGCUCGUAAUCAAAAACCUCCAGCACGUCGUCGCCAAACCGGUUGUCGACGCUUUGCAGCUGCGCCAGGGUCAAUUUGUCCAUGGGGAUCCCUUGGUUUUCUGCAAGAGCCACGACGCGGCCGGCGAUGUGGUGCGUUUCGCGAAAGGGGAGGCCUUUCCGAACGAGAUAUUCCGCCAGAUCAGUAGCCAGCAUGUCCGGGGUUAGGGCCUCGCGCAUUUUAUCUGGGAAGACGGUUAGGGUGGAUAGCACGCGGGUUGCGAUGAGCAAACUAUCCUUCAGCGUCUUGAUGUGUUCGAGGAGCGGCUCCACGCUCUCCUGGAGGUCCUUGUUGUAUGUUGACGGAAUGCCCUUGAUGGUCAUCAUGAGACCGGCCAUACCACCAAAUAUUCUCCCACACUUGCCUCGUAGGAGCUCGAGGGAGUCACCUGUCGGUGUGUGUGUGUCAGAGUUGGCCCCUCUGCUAGCCUUUACAGUAAAGAACUUUGAUUCAAAGAAAGGCGAGGGAGGAUAACAACAUACUAUUCUUUUUCUGGGGCAUCAACGAGCUUCCCGUGGUGUAGGCGUCCGACAAGCGGACGAAUCCAAAUUCAGUCGUACCGUAAACAAUAAGAUCCUCGCUCCAGCGGGAGAUAUGCAACAUCAAUGAUGAGCCCCAUUGCAUUGUUUCUAGAAUGAAGUCCCGGUCUCCAACCGCGGACAUGCUAUUGGGGAUCAGGCCGUCAAAGCCCAAUUCUUUCGCCAUGGCUUCUCGGUCAAUUCCAAACGCAUUUCCCGACAAGGCUCCGCAGCCAAGAGGACUGCGGUUAACGUGUUUUAUAACCUCGCGCAGACGCUCCAGGUCGUUCAUGAAAAAGCUGCCGUAACUGAGCAUCCAGUGGCUCCAUCGAACUGGCUGUCCACGCUGUAAGUGGGUGUAUCCGGGGAUGACAUAGUCGAUAUCAUUCUCCGCCCGAUCCGCAAUGGCCGUUAAUAGAUCGACAAGGUACG
rnacentral:sRNA from 2 species